rnacentral:lncRNA from 1 species
GGCUGCUGCGGCUGUGGCUGCUGGCGGCGGCGGCGGCUGGCGGCGGGCAGGGCUCCCAGCUGCCACGAAGUUCGGACGGCGUUUCAGCUGCGACAGAUCGGGCCCCUCAAGCUGGUCCCCGACGUGCCCACGGCCGGUCAGUACCGCCCGCACCGCGGGGCCGCUGCUCGGGGCGGGGGAGGGGGCUGCGGGCGGCUUGCGGUCCUCCCAGAGUCGUAUUCGGGUCCCGCUCGGCGCCCCGCCGCCGUCGGAGCGCUGCUGCCUUCGGCCCGAGGGCGGCAGCCCGGGGCCGGCGGGGCUCGGCGAGCCGCUCGCGCGGGUCUGUAUGAGUCGCAGGGAGAGGGAGAGCGGCGAGACGGCUGGGCGGCUGCAGCCUGCAGGUAUUUCUUGCUGACCGUCACCGGAAGCCUCGGACUUUUUUUUCCCCCCCCUUCUCCCCUCAUCCCCGCACGUUUCUUUAGGGCUACUUCACUCCUUUUGCUGAGUAGUUGAUGCAGAAAAAUCCUGACAGGAAAUUACCUCUUAGAAGGGCGAAUGUGUAACUGAGUUAUUAAGGAAAUACUUGUUUUGCUGGCCAGGUGUGGAGGUCCUGGGGAGUGUAUCGUAAUUUCUGAAUUUGGAAGUUUUCUUGCAUGGAAGUUCACAAAGUCAUUGAGAAAGGCAGGAGUAACGCUUCGGAGGGCUGUGAUCAGCAGAACUCAGUUUUGCUCUUCUGAGGUCCACAGCAUAUCGGAUUUGUGCAAGCUGAUGAGUAGUGCCAUGUUCCCUUUUGUCUUUUCAUAUAGUGGAAAAGUUUCACAUAGUAAAACGUUUGUUUUGCAAGUACUCUCUUGCAUUCAUUGUAAGGGAGUGAAGUGCUUCACGGAGACAAAUUAUGUAAAUGUUAUGAAUGACCAUAGAUCUACCUGGAUAAUGAAGUCAUUUCCCCGCUGCUUUCCAUGUGUUUUAAGAAAAAUAUUUGCAAGACUGGAACACAAAAGGAAAGGCUGCCUGUCUCUUACAGAACAGCCUGUAGCUGCCUCUGGCUAGCACUCUGCCUGUGCGUGUGUGCGUGUGUGUGUGUGUGCCGGGAUACUUGUCAGUUUGAGUUGUUAUCUCUGUUUGUUUUCAGAUCUUCUUAGAGCACUUCCAGCCUGCGGAGGCUGGUGAAAAUAAUUCUUAAUUGAAAUUAGUUUUGGGUGUGUUUUCUGCAUUGAUUUCUAUCUUAGGGGUAGGUUUGAUGAGCCCCUUGGUCUGAGCAGAGGCAGCUCCCCGUGGCCGUAAGUAAUUGCGUGGCGCUGGUGAUCUUCACCUUCUCUUUGCAUAAAGCAGUGCAGAAAGUUGUCUAUGGCUAAGGAGACCUUCCUUGGUUUGUGGCAAGGGGAGAUGAGCAGGAAUGGCAUUCUGAUGCUUGAAUCUUGCUGCUGUUCUCUUGUGCUGAUGGAGAAGUCAGAUUGCAGUUGGAGAGCUACAUGUGAAAGCUGGUGUAAAAAAAGUAAGAGGUAAAACAAGGCUUUUUGUCUACUGUGCUGUGCUCUUUCCUGAGCUCUUCCUGGAAUAAAUUCUCAAAACUUUUAUAGAACGUACAAAAGAGUGUAAUCAAACUCUGGUAUUGGGAAUGAAACGUGGGGGAAACCAUGCUCUGCUCUGGAGGAAAGGUGGAGAUGCUGUGAUGGCUCAGAGAUGGCUUCACUGCAUUCCUUGCGUCAUGCUGAACUUUCUUGUCAAAUAACAAGCUCUCAGAAGAUAAAUGGCAGGAGAGGAGGUGAGGGAGCCCAAUAUCCUUUUAAAUUUUAGCUCUCGUAAAGAGAAAGAGGAUUUUUGGAGCAGAACAGAGCUAAGGAAAUGCAGUGAGCGUUGAUCUUCCCUGUUUGUUAGGUGUAUUUAGCUCCGGCAAAGCUCCAGUGUGUUAUUGAUGCCUCUUGCCAGGCAGCAAUGCCUCCUGCCUUAUGCCCUCUUAAUUAAUUCAGUACCAAAGCAUUUUCCAGUGUUUCCAUCUGGCAGCUGUUACCAGUGGAUAUACCUUAUUCCGCUGCACCAGGCAUGCAGUACGGUACUGAGGGCAAUUUUAGAAACUCAUGACCAGCACACAUUGGGGUGCUCCUCUGUUUUCAUCUGUUUGCAUGUUGGGUUUCUCAAGGAAACGGAACUGCAGUUGUGUUAUCUGUUUACCAGAUAUUUUCAGUCACAAUAGUGUUGAAAGCCCUUGGCUAAUUUUAAGCCAGCGUUUAUUGGCUAACUGGUAAAACAAAUCUGGCAGAAGUUAGUCUUACAGGUUAUUAAAUUCUGGUAAUCUUCAGGAAAAUCAGCAGCUUGGUUGAGGAGAGAGGCUUUCCAAGCUGGACAGGGGGUCAGCAGGCUGAGGCUGGCUGGUGUAUAGUUUCUAUCUCCUACAGGUGGUGCUUGUUUCACACUUAAUAAAAGUAACUCCAGAUACUGAAGAGUUUGUAGCCUGCACUCUCUGGUGGUGGUAGUGUGGCUGCAGUGCUGAAGUCACCCACCAGUGGAUCCUGGGUGCCAGCUUCAUGGGGGCCUGCCCCUCGUUGCACAAGGUCUUGAAGUACUCAGCUCUGAACAGCAGGCCUCCAACCAAAGCUGACCUCCAGAUGAAUCUCACAACCCAGCAUUAUAUAUCAUCGGUAUCUGAUCAUUAGCAAAAUAUGUAUGAUCAUUAACAAAAUACGCAUCUUGGACAAAACGUCUCAUUAGCAAGAGAUGUAGCUUAGAUGAAGCAUUAUGAGAAUGUAUGAACCUUUUCCUUGUUUUGAAGCAUGGUGUCAAG